rnacentral:rRNA from 1 species
CCAAUAGCGUAUAUUAAAGUUGCUGCAGUUAAAAAGCUCGUAGUUGAAUUUCGGGACCAAUAUGUCGGUCGUGCCUCGGUACGUACUGGCAUCGUUGGUUUCUCCCUUCUGACGAACCAUGAUGUCAUUUAUUUGGUGUCAUGGGGAAUCAGGACUGUUACUUUGAAAAAAUUAGAGUGUUUAAAGCAGGCUCACGCUUG